rnacentral:rRNA from 1 species
UACAGAGGUCCCAAGCGUUGUUCGGAUUCACUGGGCGUAAAGGGUGCGUAGGCGGUUGGGUAAGUCUGAUGUGAAAUCUCACAGCUUAACUGUGAAACUGCAUUGGAUACUAUCCGGCUAGAGGAAUGGAGGGGGAGACUGGAAUACUUGGUGUAGCAGUGAAAUGCGUAGAUAUCAAGUGGAACACCAGUGGCGAAGCGAGUCUCUGGACAUUUCCUGACGCUGAGGCACGAAAGCCAGGGGAGCAAACGGG